GGCGGGCGUGGCCAAGUGGUAAGGCAAUGGAUUGUGGCUUCAUUAUUCGCGGGUUCGAAUCCCGUCGUUCGCCG
rnacentral:tRNA from 1 species